GUGCUGCAGUGGCAGAGCAUCUACUCUGCAUGCAGAAGAAGGUCCCUGGUUCAAUCCCUGGCUUCUCCA